UACGAAGGGUGCAAGCGUUAAUCGGAUUUACUGGGCGUAAAGCGCGCGUAGGCGGCUUUGUAAGUCAGAGGUGAAAGCCCGGAGCUCAACUUCGGAAUUGCCUUUGAGACUGCAUCGCUUGAAUCCGGGAGAGGUGAGUGGAAUUCCGAGUGUAGAGGUGAAAUUCGUAGAUAUUCGGAAGAACACCAGUGGCGAAGGCGGCUCACUGGACCGGUAUUGACGCUGAGGUGCGAAAGCGUGGGGAGCAAACAGG
rnacentral:rRNA from 1 species